rnacentral:lncRNA from 1 species
AUGUUUAACUUUACGCCUCCGGUUCCUCCGAGGGCAGCGCCCCGCGCCCCGCACCUGCAGCCCCGUUCCCAGCCCCAGCGCCCGCAGGGGGGCUCGGCACCCUCGGGCCCCCCACCCCGGCACCCAGCGCCCCCUCCCCAAGCCCCUUCGCCGCAGGGCUCCUCGGUGAUCCCCCAAACCCCCUGGUCCCCCCUCGCCCCCCGCAGACCCACCUCUGGCGGACAUGGCCGGGCCGUGCCGGGCCGUGCCGAGCCGGGCGGGGCCGCGGCGCUCUCCGCGCUGCGUGCGCCUGUGCGGCUCGGCUGGGCUCGGCUCGCCUUGGAUCGGAUUGGAUCGAGUGGGAUCGCCUGGGAUCGGGCUGCCGAGGGCAGGGCGGUGGCUGCGGGGCGGAGCGGGGCGGGCGCAGCGCUGCGGGCCCGGAGGGGCAGCGGGCGCCCCCCCGGCGGGGGCCGGGAGCUCCCCGACACGGCGAACCCGACCUCAACCCCCCGGGAGGCUGCGGGGAAGGGCAGGCGACGGGAACCGCAGGGCUGCGGCCGAAUUGAGCCGCGAGAGGUGGCUCCGCUCAGGGUCGGCACGGCCAGCAAGCAGGACCCGGGGUGCUGCGGCAGCCGGCACGGCGGUGGCACGGGGGCUGAGUCACGCUCCUCCUGCUCUGCUGUGCCACACGCAGCGCAGCUGCCUCCCAGCAGCAAGCCCACACGGUUUUCCUACGAAAGAAACGCAGCCGGAGAUCCAGGAGAGGUGGCGGUGCUCGCAUCCCUGCCCGCGGCUGCGUGGCGCGGUCCCCACCGCAGUGCCGGGGCGCAGCCGGCUGGUGGCUGCUUGGCAGCGCCCUGGAGUGCUCGCCCCGCUGCCAGCCGGGCAGCGAGGUAUAUAUGUGCAUGUAAAAUGUGUGUGUGUACAUGUAUGUGUAAGGGAGCAGAGCAGCAGCACAAGGGCGAGCGCACACGUGUCCUCUCAUCAGGUGAUGUAGGCGCAGACAAUGCGCCGGCACAGCUGUUCCUCCCAUAUCGCACUCAGCCAGCAAUGACUUGUGGUCAUACACACCUCUGUUUGCCAUGCAUAGCCCCACUGUCACCUGCAGCUCAUACUCAUUAG